rnacentral:sRNA from 1 species
UGAUGUACGAUAAGAAAUAAUUCAAGCAGCUUCUUCACUAUUUUAAAAAAGUGAAGAAGCUGCUUGAAUUAUUUCUUAUCGUACAUCA